CAGGGAGACAACAAAAUGUUUAAUUUUAUUAUUUUGUCACCUUAGGUCGAUCGGUAUCUCACGUUCUUAAUUUUAUUAAGAAUUUCAUUUCCUAAGUUUUUCUAGGUCACACCCAUUAUUUUCCUGGGCCAUUAGCUCAGGUGGUUAGAGCGCACCCCUGAUAAGGGUGAGGUCCCUGGUUCAAGUCCAGGAUGGCCCAUAUCUCUAUGUUGGGGGUAUAGCUCAGUUGGUAGAGCGCCUGCUUUGCAAGCAGGAUGUCAGCGGUUCGAGUCCGCUUACCUCCACUGAUUACCACCUCUUCCAUAAUUUUGAGAAAGGAAAAUUUAGAGUUGUGACACAAUUCUGAACGAAUCUAGCUUCCUAAUGAAAUCAUUAAGAUGCUGGACUCAUUGAAUUAAUUUCAUUGUUUUCAGAGAACCUUGACAACUGCAUAGAUUAUUUUUAAAGACAAUAAGCAUCUUUAAUGAUGCAGAUUUAUUAUUUGUGCGAAUGCAUUAAUAACAAUUCUAUUAAGCUGAUGCUUCAAUUAUGAAGUUAUU
rnacentral:tRNA from 1 species